UUUUCCUACGGGGCGCAGCAGUGAGGAAUAUUGGUCAAUGGGCGGGAGCCUGAACCAGCCAAGCCGCGUGAGGGAAGAAGGUACAGCGUAUCGUAAACCUCUUUUGUCAGGGAACAAAGGCGGGGACUAGUCCCCGGAUGAGGGUACCUGAAGAAAAAGCAUCGGCUAACUCCGUGCCAGCAGCCGCGGUAAUACGGAGGAUGCGAGCGUUAUCCGGAUUUAUUAGGUUUAAAGGGGGCGCGGGCGGCCUGUUAAGUCAGCGGUAA
rnacentral:rRNA from 1 species